rnacentral:rRNA from 1 species
GUUCAGCACUAAGUCACUUUGUCUUUAUGGCAAAUGUGAGAUGCAGUGUAUGGAAUGUCAAAUUUCUAGUAUGAGAAAUUAACGAUUUAAGUCCUUCUUAAAUGAGGCCAUUUACCCAUAGAGGGUGCCAGGCCCGUAUAACGUUAAUGAUUACUAGAUGGCAUUUCCAAAGAGUCGUGUUGCUUGAUAGUGCAGCACUAAGUGGGUGGUAAACUCCAUCUAAAACUAAAUAUAACCAUGAGACCGAUAGUAAACAAGUACCGUGAGGGAAAGUUGAAAAGAACUCUGAAUAGAGAGUUAAAUAGUACGUGAAACUGCUUAGAGGUUAAGCCCGAUGAACCUGAAUAUCCAUUAUAGAAAAUUCAUCAUUAUGAUUUUAAUAUUAAUAAUAUUAUAAUAAUGGUGUGCAUUUUUUCUAUAACGGACAUUGUAAUCUAUUAACAUAAAUAUAUUUAUCAUAAGAUCAAUGAUGCGUAAGUUUAUUCAAAUUAUUUUGCUUGCAAUUUAACAUAGAAUAAAUGCUCUUGAUUUGAUAAAGUGUUGAUAGAUUUAUUGUAUAUAGUGCUUAAAUAUUUAUAUUUUAUAAUAGCAUAUUAAUCAUUGAUUUUUAUGUUUAUUAUAUGCACUUAUAUGAUUAACAAUGCGAAAGAUUCAGGAUACCUUCGGGACCCGUCUUGAAACACGGACCAAGGAGUCUAACAUAUUUGCAAGUUAUUGGGUAUCAAAACCUAAUAGCGAAAUUAACAUGACUUUUUAAUGGGAUUAGUUUUUAGAUUAUUUAUAGUCUAUUAAUUCAAUCCCGGGGCGUUCUAUAUAGUUAUGUAUAAUAAUAUUUAUAUUAUUUAUACCUCUAACUAGAGCGUACCUUGAGCAUAUAUGCUGUGACCCGAAAGAUGGUGAACUAUACUUGAUCAGGUUGAAGUCAGGGGAAACCCUGAUGGAAGACCGAAACAGUUCUGACGUGCAAAUCGAUUGUCAGAAUUGAGUAUAGGGGCGAAAGACCAAUCGA